CUGAUGAUGGGCCAACUCAAGAGCAAGAGCCGGUCUAUUUGAUAGCAACUAUCCAUUAUCAUCAACAACCCAAUAAAUCAAAUUAGGGAACCCAAUCGAAACCCUAAUCAAUCGAUCGUUAUUUUCCUCCCUAAAAUCCGUUCUCUCGCAUCCUCAAUCUUUCAAAUAAGCCAAUUAGAAUUUCUACCUUGCGCUCCAUUUGGGUGUAGCUUCUGCGAAUCCAUCUACACUCGAAGAGAAGUCUUCACUGUUUGACGAACCCAAUGUCGAGAGACAGCAAUGACCGAUUACCGAUGGAAAACUUUAGAGCUGCGGUUAUGGAAAUGGCAAGCAGACAUCCAAACAAACCCUUAACGGAGGCGCGAAAAUGUCUAAUUGAUAAACGCAUCCGAGAGUUCUUCGCCCACACGCCCAGCCCUCCUGAUCAUCCCCCUUACUCUGCGAUGAUACACAGGGCACUUCAAGAGUUGAACGAGGAAGGUGGUUCUAGUGAAGAGUCAAUAUCAAAUUUUAUUAGAAAGGAGUAUAAAGAAUUGCCAUGGGCACAUUCUGUAUUCUUGAAUCAUCAUCUGGGGAAACUUUGUGUGAGUGGUGAGAUUGUUUUGACUCGUGACAAUUCUUAUUUGCUUGCUGGUGCAAUCAGGAAACAAAAACCUAGCUCUAGACGUCCUUCUAAGAGGAAGGAACUGAAGAGAAAGCGAAGCAAGAAGCGGCAAAGGGAACUGGGUUGUCCAUGUAACAAACAAGAAAUUGAAGCAGAAUAUCACUUGAAAGAACAAAUGGAAGUGAUUGAAGAACUGAAUCAAGCACUAGAAGAUAAUACUGAAAUGGUUGACAAACAAAAUCAAGCGCCAAUUGGUGAGAUGUUGCAAUCCUAUGAUGAUGGUGAGAAGGGUGAUGGUAGAAAAUUAAAAGUGCUGCCUGUUGAGUCUCUUGGGUCCAUUAUGGAAGAAGAAAUUGGAGCAGAAUAUCAGUUAGAAGAAUCAAGGGAAGGGAUUGAAGAACUAAAUCAAGCACUAGAACAUUAUACUUUUGACAAACAAAAUCAAGCGUCAAUCAGUGAGAUGUUGCAAUCCUGUGAUGAUGGUGAGAAGGGUGAUGGUAGGAAAUUAAAGUUGCUCCCCUUUGAGUCUCUUGGGCCCAUUAUGGAAGAAGAAAUUGAAGAUGAAUAUCAGUUAAAAGAACCAAUGGAAGUGAUUGAAGAACAAAAUGAAGCAUUAGAAGAUGAGAAGGAUGAUGAUAUCAGUGAGAUGUUGCAAUCCUGUGAUGAUCGUGAGAAGGGUGAUGGUUGGAAAUUAAAGGUGCUGCCCGUUGAGGCUCUUGGCUCCAUUAUGGAAGAAGAAAUUGAAUCAGAAUAUCUAUUGAAAGAACCGAUGGAAGGGAUUGUAGAACAAAAUCAAGCAUUAGAAUAUGAGAAGGAUGAUGAUAUCAGUGAGAUGUUGCAAUCCUGUGAUGAUGGUGAGAAGGGUGAUGGUAGGAAAUUAAAAUUGCUGCCCGUUGAGGCUCUUGGGCCCAUUAUGGAAGAAGAAGUUGAAUCAGAAUAUCAGUUGAAAGAACUGAUGGAAGGAUUGAAAGAACCGUUGGAAGGGAUUGAAGAACAAAAUGAAGCAUUAGACUAUGAGAAGGAUGGUGAUAUCAGUGAGAUGUUGCAAUCCUGUGAUGCUGGUGAGAAGGGUGAGGGCAGGAAAUUAAAGGUGCUGCCCGUUGAGUCUCUUGGGCCCAUUAUGGAAGAAGAAAUUGAAGCAGAAUAUCAGUUGAAAGAACCGAUGGAAGGGAUUGAAGAACAAAAUCAAGCAUUAGAAGAUGAGAAGAAUUAUGAAAGUUUAAAGUUGCCGUCUGUUGAGUCCCUUGAGCCUAUUAUGGAAGAAGAGAAAAAAGAAUCUUCAGAGGAAGAGCAGCCGAUGAAGAGUGCUGGAGAGGAAAAUUCUGAUAUUGUUGUUUUGCAGCCGGAACAGCAAUUAGAUCUUCCACUUCCUGAAAAAUUUUCGGAACUAAAAUCAACAGAAUUGAGUUACACACCGGAUCAGCUGGAGCAGCGGACACAGGAGAAGCCACAACGUAGGCAAUUACGGCCUCGACCUCCUAAAGCUGGAUCACUGACAGAUACAAGUAUGACAUCCUUGCCCUCACAAAAUCAGCAUGAGGUGCAGCGGAUGCAGGAGAAGCCACAACGUAGGAAAUUACGGCCUCGACCUCCCAAAGCUGGAUCACUGACAGAUACAAGUAUGGCUGAAUCCUUGCCCUCACAACAUCAGCAUGAGGAGCAGCAGACACAGGAGAAGCCACGACGUAGGCAAUUACGGCCUCGACCUCCUAAAGCUGGAUCACUGGCUGCUGCAAGUACGACUGAAUCAUUGCCCCGUCAACAGGAGCAGCUGGAGCAAGUGGAGCAACCAGAGCAUCGAGGUCCGGGGAGGCCUAAGAAGCAACGGGAGCAGCUGGAGCAAGUGGAGCAACCGGAGCGUCGAGGCCGUGGGAGGCCUAGAAAGCAGCAGGAGGAACCGAAGCAGCAGGCGCAACCAAAGCGUCGAGGCCGGGGGAGGCCUCCUAAAGCCCAAACCAACUAGUAGCAUGGAUAUGAAGACUCAAUGAAGUGGCAGCAGAAGCCUAAGUGUUGGGACCUGGAAGGUUGCUAAAGCUGUGAAUUCAAGGACAGUAACUGUGGACUCUGGCUUCUCUGUCCAUUGGAGGGAUCUGACUGGGAUUGUUCGUGAAAAGGUCAAUUGUUUCCUUUGGGAGGCCUUGGGUGCGAGAUUGAGACAUCGCUCAAUGUAGGUUCCGGUACACGCCAACAUCCAUGGAUGAAGUAGAGAUCUGAUCGCAAAAUUACAAAAAACACAGAGUCGGUUACAAAUUGCAUGAAACUUUUCAUUGGGAUGAUUGAAGAUUGACUAUUCAUUUAGUCUCGGUUUGUUUGGACGUAAAAUAUUUUUUUUGAAUUUUUUUUUUUUUUUUUUUUUU